rnacentral:rRNA from 1 species
CUUAGGAUGAACGCUAGCGACAGGCCUAACACAUGCAAGUCGAGGGGCAGCACAAGGAGCAAUCUGAGGUGGCGACCGGCGCACGGGUGAGUAACACGUAUGCAACCUGCCUGUAAGCGGGGAAUAACCCGUUGAAAGACGGACUAAUACCGCAUAAUACUAAAUUACUGCAUGAUAAUUAUUUAAACAUUUAUGGCUUACAGAUGGGCAUGCGCAUGAUUAGCUAGUUGGAGAGGUAACGGCUCCCCAAGGCAACGAUCAUUAGGGGUUCUGAGAGGAAGGUCCCCCACACUGGUACUGAGACACGGACCAGACUCCUACGGGAGGCAGCAGUGAGGAAUAUUGGUCAAUGGACGAGAGUCUGAACCAGCCAAGUCGCGUGCAGGAAGAAUGUCCUUAAUGGAUUGUAAACUGCUUUUGCAGGGGAAUAAAGUGCAUCACGUGUGAUGUUUUGUAUGUACUCUGCGAAUAAGGAUCGGCUAACUCCGUGCCAGCAGCGGC